UUCAGUUAGGAUUUCAUCAUGUUCUUGGAGGAUUACCUGAGUCUGUUCUGAAGGAGAAAGCUCUCGGUUUGUUUCUCCAUACUUUGGGCUUCAAGCCCAAAUUUUCCAUUUCAUGCAUUUCACUGCCUACCUACUGCCAAAGACUCCUCAGGUUACAUAUGUAACAUGGGUUUGGAGUGGAAGGCAAACCAGGAGGCAUCCUAUGAGGAAACAUCUGAUACUCGUGUGUCAUGGUUAUACCUCUGAAGGCACAAAAUAUUCUUCAGGAGACAAGAUCAAAGGUGAACUCCUCCAGAGAGUUUCAGCACAUGCUUACUCCUACGCAUGAGCAUGCGAAUCUGUCUUAGCUCCAGCCUAUCACUGCCUUACCAGGCAUUUUUCUAAGGUCAUGGAUUUGAAGAUAAAAGGUACCUAAGAAGACACUGAUCCAACCUACUCAUUUACAGAUGUGAAAACUGAGGUCGAGGAAGGAAUGAUGGAUUACAUCUCCUCAAAGCUAAUGGCUGCUGCUGCUAUCUUACAGAAAAGUCAACAGAGGCAUGCAUAUAGAUUUGGGAAAUGGACUUGUGUACACUAC